AUUGAACGCUGGCGGCAUGCCUUACACAUGCAAGUCGAACGGUAACAGGUCUUCGGAUGCUGACGAGUGGCGAACGGGUGAGUAAUACAUCGGAACGUGCCUAGUAGUGGGGGAUAACUACUCGAAAGAGUGGCUAAUACCGCAUGAGAUCUACGGAUGAAAGCAGGGGAUCGCAAGACCUUGUGCUACUAGAGCGGCCGAUGGCAGAUUAGGUAGUUGGUGGGAUAAAAGCUUACCAAGCCGACGAUCUGUAGCUGGUCUGAGAGGACGAUCAGCCACACUGGGACUGGGACACGGCCCAGACUCCUGCGGGAGGCAGCAGUGGGGAAUUUUGGACAAUGGGCGCAAGUCUGAUCCAGCAAUGCCGCGUGCAGGAUGAAGGCCUUCGGGUUGUAAACUGCUUUUGUACGGAACGAAAAGCCCUGGGUUAAUACCCUGGGGUCAUGACGGUACCGUAAGAAUAAGCACCGGCUAACUACGUGCCAGCCGCCGCCGUAA
rnacentral:rRNA from 1 species